CAGCAGCCGCCGCGGUAAUACGAAGGGUGCAAGCGUUAAUCGGAAUUACUGGGCGUAAAGCGUGCGUAGGCGGUGAGUUAAGUCUGCUGCGAAAUCCCCGGGCUCAACCUGGGAAUGGCAGUGGAUACUGGCUCGCUAGAGUGUGUCAGAGGAUGGUGGAAUUCCCGGUGUAGCGGUGAAAUGCGUAGAGAUCGGGAGGAACAUCAGUGGCGAAGGCGGCCAUCUGGGACAACACUGACGCUGAGGCACGAAAGCGUGGGGAGCAAACGGGAUUAGAUACCCGAGUAGUCCCUGUCUCUUAUAA
rnacentral:rRNA from 1 species